GUUUACUCUCUGUACAGCAGGGCAGACACAUCAUCGCUGCGUGAAGAGAGGAUGCUGGAGGCACAUGAAUGGUGGGAUGGUCUAUGUACACACCACUGGAGGAUGGUGGCACCUUAAUUGUGGAGGACGGGCACGUGGUAAUGGCUGGAGCAGAAUAAAUGGAAAGAUUGUAACGGGGAGAACAGGCCAUGGCUCGGGUGGCUGAAGUCCUUGAUGAUCUUUUUGGCCUUCCUGUGGCACCAGGUGCAGUAGACGUCCUGGAGGGCAGGCAGUGUGACCCCGGUGAUACUUUGGGCUGACCUCACCACCCUCUGGAGAGCACUGAGGUUGUGGAUGCUGCAAUUGCUGUACCAGGUCGGUGAUACAGUCCAACAGGAUGCUCUCAAUGGUAUAGAAUCAAUCAAUCAAUGUAGAAGCUUGUUAGGGUCUUAAGGGCCAAGCAAAAAUGUUUCAGCUUCCUGAGAUUGAAGAGGUGCUGUUGUGACUUCACCACACUGUCUGUGUGAAUGGACCAUUUCAGGUUGUCAGUGAUGUGUACUUCGAGGAACUUGAAGCUUUUUACCCUCUCCAAUGCAGCCCUGUCGAUGUGGGUGGGAGCGUGUUCUCUCUGCUGUCUCCUGAAGUCCAGAGUCAGCUCCUUCACUUUGUUGACUUUGAGGGAGAGGUUAUUUUCCUGGCACCACUCCGCCAGGCCCUGAUCGACAUUGGAGGAACAAUGGUGGACAUCUUGAAGCAAGUGGGGACAACAGACUGUGAUAGAAAGAGAUUAAUUAUGUUCGUAAACACUCCAGUCAGUUGGUCUGCACAUACUCUGAGGACGCAGCUUGGGACGCCGUCUUGGUCGGAGGGUUAACACACUUAAAUAUCAGUGGAGGCAGCUGAACGGAGGACAGCUCAUAAUAAUGGCUGGAACGGAGCGAAUGGAAAGGCAUCACAUCAAACACAUGGAAACCAUUCCGCUCCACCAUUACCACGGGUCCAUCCACCUCAAUUAAGGUGCCAUCAAACUCCUGUGGCGAAGAAGAAUUUUAGCUUGCCUGGGAGCAAGAUCAAUAAAAUCAGAUCAACAUCUGAGCAAUAACAUUGCUAAAUACGUGUAUGUUACCAAUAACAUCCAACAUUUGAUUGGAUUUUAUUUGAGAUAUCGGUGGCUGGCUUUCUGAAUCCCUUCUGUGACUGUCUGGAAUGUGGCAAAUGGUGGAAAAGGCCUCAACCAAGAUUUUAGACCAUGUUAGUUGAAAACUAUUAAAAAAAAUAGUUUGCUGUUAUUAAAAGAGACAAAUUCUUGUCUC
ensembl:lncRNA